CAGCAGCCGCGGUAAUACAGAGGGUGCGAGCGUUAAUCGGAUUUACUUGGCGUAAAGCGUGCGUAGGCGGCUUCUUAAGUCGGAUGUGAAAUCCCUGAGCUUAACUUAGGAAUUGCAUUCGAUACUGGGAAGCUAGAGUAUGGGAGAGGAUGGUAGAAUUCCAGGUGUAGCGGUGAAAUGCGUAGAGAUCUGGAGGAAUACCGAUGGCGAAGGCAGCCAUCUGGCCUAAUACUGACGCUGAGGUACGAAAGCAUGGGGAGCAAACAGGAUUAGAUACCCCCGUAGUCCCUGUCUCUUAUAU
rnacentral:rRNA from 1 species